rnacentral:rRNA from 1 species
GGUAGUCCUUGCCGUAAACUAUGUAUACUUGGUGUAACUGGACUCAACCCUAGUUGUGCCGGAGCUAACGCGAUAAGUAUACCGCCUGGGGAGUACGCUCGCAAGGGUGAAACUCAAAAGAAUUGACGGGGACCCGCACAAGCAGUGGAGCAUGUGGUUUAAUUCGAUGCAACGCGAAGAACCUUACCCAGACUUGACAUACAGUGGAAUAUUGCAGAAAUGUAAUAGCCCUUCGGGGCCGCUGAACAGGUGCUGCAUGGCUGUCGUCAGCUCGUGCCGUGAGGUGUUGGGUUAAG